GCCGGCGUGGCGGAAUUGGCAGACGCGCGGGACUCAAAAUCCCGUUCCUUCACCGGAGUGUCGGUUCGACCCCGACCGCCGGUA
rnacentral:tRNA from 18 species